UGUGGAAGUAAUCAUGGUAGACAGGUA
rnacentral:rRNA from 1 species